rnacentral:rRNA from 1 species
AGUGAACGCUGGCGGUAGGCCUAACACAUGCAAGUCGAACGGCAGCACAGUAAGAGCUUGCUCUUACGGGUGGCGAGUGGCGGACGGGUGAGGAAUACAUCGGAAUCUACUUUUUCGUGGGGGAUAACGUAGGGAAACUUACGCUAAUACCGCAUACGACCUACGGGUGAAAGCAGGGGAUCCUCGGACCUUGCGCGAUUGAAUGAGCCGAUGUCGGAUUAGCUAGUUGGCGGGGUAAAGGCCCACCAAGGCGACGAUCCGUAGCUGGUCUGAGAGGAUGAUCAGCCACACGGGAACUGAGACACGGUCCAGACUCCUACGGGAGGCAGCAGUGGGGAAUAUUGGACAAUGGGCGCAAGCCUGAGCCAGCCAUACCGCGUGGGUGAAGAAGGCCUUCGGGUUGUAAAGCCCUUUUGUUGGGAAAGAAAAGCAGCAGGUUAAUACCCCGCUGUUCUGACGGUACCCAAAGAAUAAGCACCGGCUAACUGCGU